GAUACGUAUUAUUGCCUCAGACAUGGCACAUCUUUGAGUGCAUAUGCUCUCUGAUUAUCAUCAUGGACUCUCCAGAAAAGUGACCCGGGUCAACCUUUGUUUGGAAGCAAGGAGGGGGGUCCUCCAUCUGACUUAUCAUCAGAAGACCAAUAAAAAUUACAUCACAGUGUUA